rnacentral:rRNA from 1 species
UUUGCCUACGGGAGGCAGCAGUGAGGAAUAUUGGUCAAUGGGCGGGAGCCUGAACCAGCCAAGUCGCGUGAGGGAAGACGGUCCUAUGGAUUGUAAACCUCUUUAGGCGGGGAGCAAUGCCGGGCACGCGUGUCCGGAGGGAGAGUACCCGCAGAAUAAGCAUCGGCUAACUCCGUGCCAGCAGCCGCGGUAAUACGUAGGGGGCUAGCGUUAUCCGGAAUUACUGGGCGUAAAGGGUGCGUAGGUGGUUUCUUAAGUCAGAGGUGAAAGGCUACGGCUCAACCGUAGUAAGCCUUUGAAACUGG